CACAGUGUUGACUCUUUUACAGAGUAAGUUCCACUGUGCCGUUCGCAAUGCUCAUGGAAUCAUUUCAUCCUUGUUUUUCAUCAAAAGUUACACAAAGAUAGGUAAUACUACGAGCGUUAUGAACGGCAAAUGGAACUUACUUAUCCCCUCCACCGCUUCAGCAUGCUGGAAGAGAAUCAAAACACUGUGAACACUGCUUCCACGUGCUAUCGCAUGCUAAGGCCCAAGAUAUUAAUCCAAGCGUGAUCGUUUCCUAUAAAGUGUUUAUUUAUAGUGAUUUUUCUUCACAAAUAAAGUUAAAAAAAUGGAUAACAAGAAAUAUAUUAUUGCGGAAUUUGAUGAUGGUCUACAGUUGAUACCCGCAAUAUGGUUCAACGCAGAUACGUCAUCAAGUAUUUGNCCUAGUCACUUCAAAACAAAAUUUCGUAUUAAUAAGGCCAUAGUGACAAGAGAGAUCCCACAACAUAAAUCAGAUUGGGAGGAGUUACCAAUAAAGAAAGUUUUUGGCAUUGCAAAUACUUACGAAGAAGGUAUGCAAAAAUUAUGUUUAGCGGAAGAUACCUCAAAUAUUGAUGAAACAGGUGUAUCGUCAAACGAAGUAAGAGAACGAG